rnacentral:lncRNA from 1 species
AUGAGGUGCUUGCUGCUUUUACUAGCAACAGAAAUGCCUUGCAAAAGCAAUCAGGCUCAUGGUUCACUGACCUCAAUGAUAUUCUGACAGUCUUAACUCUGGAUCGAGGACUAAAAGAACAGCUAAUGGAAAAUAUGUAAUAGCUUAGUGAAUUAUGCAGUUCAGGAUAAGGAUCCCAGAGAAUCCUAGAACAGCUUUUCUCAUUGGUAAGAAACACGGAAACGGAGAAGAGAAAAGAAGCGGAAACAAAGACAAACCUCAAUUUCAUCAAAUUUAGUAAAGAGCCAAACCCCAACCUCUCUUUCCCCCAUGACUGAAAAAAAAAAUCACGAUUCCACUGUCAUAUUCCUCUUAUUCUUUCAUCACAAUGUCAUGUCUCCUUGAAAGAGCGAGCCAGAAGGAAGGACCUCCAGUUGGAGAUAAGGGGUAGAUAUACCAUUGAAACAGAAGAAGAUAAAAAGAGGAAGAAUAUAAUAUUACGUAUGCCUGCUGAUACUGCUUACUCGGUUAGAAAAGAUUAUAAAAUUCAUAAAAUAAAGGAUAUUGGAAUUCUGACACUGGUACUUCAUAGUUAAGUUUUGUAGGACAAAACUUGUACAUGAUAAUUUGCUUUUGUCAGUAUCAAAAACCAGAAAAAGGAUUCACUGAGAGGUCACUGGUUGCAGGACUAGAAACC